GCGGAUGUGGCGGAAUUGGUAGACGCGCACGGUUCAGGACCGUGUGGAGGCGACUCCGUGGAGGUUCGAGUCCUCUCAUCCGCA
rnacentral:tRNA from 2 species